GCACCAAGGUGAGGGCACUUCCUUUGUAGUUUCUGAAAUUCCUCCCAUGCCUCAUAGAGUGCAUCACCAUCCUUUUGAGUAAAGUUUUGAAUCUCUCUCCUUAGUCU